CAGAAUCAUUUUUUGUAACUGUGUUGACAGCUUUUUUUUCAGGAUGAGAUAUUUUUGAUAAAAAAAGAAGACAUCAAUAAGCCCAGCCCACCCAUCUAUAAGUACGUAGAGUCUACUCCGGAGCGAUACGAUCCCUACAAGUGGGAGGAGGAGAAGUGGUACUACAUCCGGUCAAACACAUACAGCUCAAUGGCAAAAGGGGGCGACCCAAGGUAUCUGCAAAUCAAGGUCACAAGGCUGCCGAAGGAGCAGGUCGGUCACGGUCAAGAAUCACGGCUGAUUCAGAAGGUCAAGUGGAUGCCGGGGGAGGUCACAGCGAUGCCGCUGCCAAGACGGAACGGGCCUCCGAGUGCCAGCAGCAGCAG